rnacentral:rRNA from 1 species
UACGAAGGGGGCUAGCGUUGCUCGGAAAUCACUGGGCGUAAAGGGUGCGUAGGCGGGUUCUUAAGUCAGAGGUGAAAUCCUGGAGCUCAACUCCAGAACUGCCUUUGAUACUGAGAGUCUUGAGUUCGGGAGAGGUGAGUGGAACUGCGAGUGUAGAGGUGAAAUUCGUAGAUAUUCGCAAGAACACCAGUGGCGAAGGGCGGCUCACUGGCCCG